GUGUCAGCAGCCGCGGUAAGACGGGGGGUGCUAGCGUUGUUCGGAAUCACUGGGCGUAAAGGGCGCGCAGGCGGCCGCGCAAGUCGGAUGUGAAAGCCCGGGGCUCAACUCCGGAACGGCAUUCGAGACUGCGUGGCUCGAGACCGGAAGAGGAGGGUGGAAUUCCCAGUGUAGAGGUGAAAUUCGUAGAUAUUGGGAGGAACACCGGUGGCGAAAGCGGCUCUCUGGUCCGGUUCUGACGCUGAGGCGCGAAAGCGUGGGGAGCAAACAGGAUUAGAUACCCUGGUAGUCCACGCCCUAAACGAUGUGCGCUGGAUGUCGGGAGCCUGGCUCUCGGUGUCGUAGCCAACGCGUUAAGCGCACCGCCUGGGAAGUACGGCCGCAAGGUUGAAACUUAAAUGAAUUGACGGGG
rnacentral:rRNA from 1 species